UCCCUCUCCCUGUGCAGGUUUGACUUUGAAAACAGGUAUGCUACCUUAAAUCUAACUCUCAAAAGCUUUGAUUAAUGUAGUUUAGCUAUGCUAAUGGUAUGUUUAUUGACAGGGAAUGCUCGUCAGCUGGCCGAAAUCUACAGGUGGCGAUUCACGUGCCUUCACCACCAGCUGAUUGGGACCGCUGCUGUUUUGUCUCUGUUUUGUCUCUGCUUUGUCUCUGCCUUGUCGCUGCUUUGUCGGUGUUUUGUCUAUGCUUUGUCUACACUGAUUUAUUUACAUUGCUUUGUCCGCACCGCUUUGCCUCUGCCGUUAAACACACGGUUGCUGUGUUUAUACCGCUUUGUCGACUAUAUGUCUGCUGUUGUGCCCCUACUGCUAGCUGCAUAGCUGUGUCUCUGCUGCUGUAUGGGACAUUGUCCCCUGCUUUGCCUCUGCAGUCACUUAUUCCUUGCUGCCGUGUUCUGCGGCUCUGGCUGCUUGGUGGCUUCUGGCUACAGCCGGCUUGCAUGGUGAACUGCAGACACUAUACUUUUAAUCUGUUUAUCUCUUUUUAUUUUAGCUGAACGAUGUGGCUGCAGGCUGGUGGUGGUGCUGGUGACGUGGGUGGUGGUGUCCCUCCUUCUUGUGUGCUGUGCUUCCUUGGAUUUGGUGAUACCACAGUGUGUGACUGCCACGUGUGUCUGGGUGAACCCUUUUUCUUUAAUUUAACUUUGUUGAGUCCCCUUCCCCUUCACCUGCUCUUUCCCCACCAGUAGGCCUCAGCCCCUGAUUAGGCUCCCUUUUUCAUUUAUUGGGAUGAAUGCUAUUUUUUUAUAAUGAUAUAUAUAUUUAUUAAAUAAAGUAUUUUUGUAAACUGGGAA